AUGGAGAUUGCCAUAUCAGCAGUUGCAAGUGAACUUGUGAGCCGGUUCAUCUCCUUCCUGAUGAACAAGUGCCACUCAAGCCAUGCGCAGUCAGAGGAAAAGAAGGUGGAAAGGUUGCAGCAUCUCCUAAUGAGAGCUUGUACAAUCGUCGAGGAGGCGGACACUCGAUACAUAACAAACUCCGGGAUGAUGAUGCAGCUCAAGAUGCUCUCGGAGGCCAUGUACCGAGGUCACAGCCUCCUCGAUGCCUCGAGGUACCGAGCCCUCCAAGACGGUGCGGGCUUCGACAAGGUUAGCAGCAAUGACUCAUCUAGCAACAGUUUGUAUUUAGUCAUUCCAGUCAAGCGUUCUCGAACAAUGGCAGAGAAAGGCAACAAGGCCAUGGGCCUCGACUCACAUGGUGCUUUGGAAAGCUUAGAAAUUGUUGUUGCAAACAUGUCAGAGUUUGUUGUGCUUUUGGGUGGAUGUGAGCGCAUGUCGCGUAGGCCAUAUGAUGUUUAUCUUUACACCGACAACUUCAUGUUUAGUCGACACGCUGAAAAGCAAAAGCUUUUGAGCUUUUUGUUGGAGCACAACGAUCCUUCAGGUGAUCAUGCAUUAGCCAUUCUUCCGCUCAUAGGUGGUGUCGCAGUUGGGAAGAAAACUUUGGUUGCUCAUGUGUGUGGCGAUGACAGGGUCCGUUCACGCUUCUCCUCUAUUUUGCACUUGAAUGGAGACAACCUUUUGGGGAUACUUGGUGAUGGGAGGGCCAUGAUUGAGAUAAUGUUGGUAGUUAUUGAUUUCACUUCUGAUGUAGGUGAUGAUGACUGGAAAGUUUUUCACUCAUUUCUCAUAAGAAUGGGCAGAGGAAGCAAGGUCAUCAUUGUAAGUAAGCUUAAAAGAAUAGCCCGGUUUGGAACGGUGAAACCAAUUUUACUAAGUGGGCUAUCUCAUGAUGAGUUGACUUACCUUUUCAAGGCACUCGCCUUCGGAAGUAUAGAGCCAGCAGAACAUCCGCGGCUAGUACAAAUAGCAGAUGAAUUUGCCAUGGUGAUUCAUAGUUCGCAAGUUUCACUUGUGGCAACAAAUAUGUUCACGGAUGUGUUAAGAAGCAACCUCGACGUUCAGUUCUGGCGUUGUAUAUUGGACAAGGUGGCAAGAAUGGUUAAAAGAAACCGCUCCAUUUAUGGUUUGAACCCAACCAUGCGUAUAGAACAAGGCCAUCCAGUGGACAUAACAGACAUUGCUUUGCAUCCACUUAGCAUGAAACCUUAUAGUGAUAAUAUUUCAAUCAAGACGGAAUUGCCAAGUGUGACAUUUGGAGAACUUAUAACAGAUCCUACUGUUAGGCCCAAAGGAGACUUCACUCUAAUUGCAUGGGAAUCAAGGAUAGCCCCUCAUAAAUCAUUUCCUAAUUAUGUUACAAGUCAUGCUCAGGAUACACAUCAAAGUAGUGCCCUGCCAGGGAGGAAGCGACGAGGAGUGCCAAUCUAA
rnacentral:rRNA from 1 species